AACGAACGCUGGCGGCAUGCCUAACACAUGCAAGUCGAACGAUACCUUCGGGUAUAGUGGCGCACGGGAGCGUCACGCGUGGGAACCUUCCCUUAGGUUCGGAAUAACUCCCCGCAAGGGGUGCUAAUACCGGAUAAUGUCUUCGAACCAAUGAUUUCUCGCCUUUGGAUGGGCCCGCGUGGGAUUUGCUAGUUGGUAAGUUAAAAGCCUACCAAGGCUACGAUCCAUAGCUGGUCUGAGAGGAUGAUCCGCCACACUGGGACUGAGACACGGCCCAGACUCCUACGGGAGGCAGCAGGGGGGAAUAUUGGACAAUGGGCGAAAGCCUGAUCCAGCAAGGCCGCGUGAGUGAUGAAGGAGUUAGGGUUGUAAAGCAGUUUUACCCGGGAUGAUAGUGACAGUACCGGGAGAAUAAGCGCCGGCUAACUCCGUG
rnacentral:rRNA from 1 species